rnacentral:lncRNA from 10 species
CCCUCUUCCUCUCCUUUUCCCCUUGCCUUUCCUCCCCCUUCCUCUCCCCCUUCCUCUCUCCCUUCCCUUCCAUGAGACCCUCCCCAACCCAUCUCUGCAUCUCCCAGCUCCUCCCACUCCUGCUCCUCCCUCGCCCUGCCCCCCUCCACCUAUCCCAACUCCACUCAUCCGCAGCCCAAACACUGAUCUGUUUUAGUUUGCAUUUUCUAGAGUCGUCCAUAAAUGGAAUCAUCCCAUAUGUACUUGAUUUUGUCUGGCUUCUUUCACUCAACAUAGUUACUUUGACAUGCCUGCGUGUUUUUGCAUGGAACAAUCAUUCAUUGCUUCCUGAGCAGUAUUCCAUUUAUGGAUAUACCACCGUGUGUUUAGUCAGCACUUGAUUUAGCCUGCUUUCAAUUUUUCCUGAUUAGAACUACAGCUGCUAGGAACAUCCCUGUGCAAAUCUUUGUACAGACAUAUACGGUUUUUCCUCUCUGGGGUAAAUACCUGGAAGUGGAAUGCCCAGGUCGUAAGGCAUCUCAGAGCUUCGACUGACUGAAUAUAUGCAGAGUCCAAAAUGAGAUAAACAAGCACCUAACCUGAACUUAAGCCGGCAGAUGAGGAUAAGGCUCCCCAGCCUCCCGGAACAAGCAGACAGUUAUUAAUGGAAAUGUUCCACCAGUUCAGGUCUGUGCUGGGAGCCUUCCUGGGUGAUCCUGUGUUUCCAUCAUUAAUCACUUUGAACACUGCAUUCUCAUUUGGCAGAAUGCUGAAGCCUUACUGGUCUGAGGUGUCAGAGGUCAGAGCCUGAGACUGACAGAGGAGCCACAGGUGACCAGCAAACUGCAGAAGCUCUGGGGAGAACUCCAUGGAGUCAGGCUAAAAACAGCAGCAACCAGAAACUGUAAGAACUGAGCAGAGAUACCAGCUGCACCACUAGAGAGACAAAGUGUGUAGCUCACUGCCUAGUACAGCAAAAUAGCCACAAUCCUCAGAAGGACACAACAGAAUCUGGAAUCACUAGAAAGUAUUAUCUACAAUGCUCAUUCUUAACCAUGCAAAGAAGAAACAGGAAAGUGUGAUUCAAAGUCAGAAAAAAGUCAGUCAAUAGAAAUCUACUCUGUUAGGGACAGGUGUUGGUGAAUUAAGUAAUUAGAGACUCUAAAGCAGCUAUGAUAAAUAUGUUCACAGAGGAAAGCUCAAUAGAGAAAUGAAACUUCAAACAUGGAAAUUUAAGACUUGAAAAGUACAAAAACUAGAAAGAAAAAUUUACUAGGUGGACCAAACGGCAGAUUAGAGAUGCCAAAAUUGCAUAAAUUGAACAGAGAUCAAAAGACGUUAUUUAAUCUAAAAAAUUGAAGAAAAAUGAGCAGAGCCUUAGAGUCCUGUAAAAUAUCAAGCAAGAUAACAUAUAUGUAAUUGGGUUCCGGAGGGAGAGAAGGAAUGGAAAAAAAUAUUUGCAUAAAUAAUGACUGAAAAAUUCCAUGAUUGGCAGAAAACACUAAUUUACAGAUCUAAGAAGGUCAAGCACCCCAAGCAGGAUAUAUAAUUAUAUCACUUCCAUGCAGAAGAGAAAUGCAGAAAGCCAAAGAUAAAGAGCAAAGUGUUGAAAGCAGCCAAAGAAAAGUGACACAUCACGUACAGGAAAAUAGUUCAGCUCAAUGGCUGAAUUUUCAUCAGAAAUACUGGCAUUCAGAAGAAAUUUAAAAAUGCUGAAAACAAAACUAGCAGCCAAGAAUUUUGUAUCAAGCAAAAAUGUCUUUUCAAAAUUAAAGGCAAAAGGAAGCAACUUCCAGAUAAAUUUAAAAGACAGAAUUUAUGCCAUUAUAUUUACACUGUAAGAAAUGCUAAAUGAGGUUCUUCAGGUUGAAGGGAAAUGACCCUGAUGACAACAUGGAUCUACAGGAAAAAAUGAAAAGCAUCAGAAAUCAUACAUAUGUGAGUAAAUAUAAAAUACUAAAUAUUGAUAGAUGAAUAUAUGGAUAGGUACUACACAAACACAUAUGAACAUAUAAUUCUUAAUAUCUUAACACAUGAUAUAGGACUCUUCAAAACAAAAAAUUAUUACAUUGUAUUGUUGGGUUUGUAAUGGACACAGAUAUAAAAUAUGUAACAAUAUUAAGAGUAGGAAAAGUAGAGAUACAUUGUUAAAAGGUUCUAGUAUUUUACUUGAAGUAGUUCAAUAUUAACUCUAGACUAUUAUAAGUUAAAGUUAAGUUGCGUAUUGUAAUCACUACAGCAACCACUAAAAAUAGAACAAAGAAAUACGGCAAAAAAGCCAAGAGACGAAUUAAAAUGUAACACUAAAGAAAAAAAAAAAACACUACGGGGGGCCGGGUGCAGUGGCUCAUGCCUGUAGUCCCAGCACUUUGGGAAGCCAAGGCAGGAGGAUCACCUGAGGUCAGGAGUUCGAGACUAGCCUGGCCAACAUGGUGAAACCCCUCCCCCCAACCAAAAAUACAAAAAUUAGCUGGAUGUGGUGGCACGUGCCUGUAAUCCCAGCUAGUUGGGAGGCUGAGUAGGAAAAUCACUUGAACCCAGGAGGCAGAAAUUGCAGUGAGCAGAGAUCGUGCCACUGCUCUCCAGCCUGGGUGACAGAGCAAGGCUCCAUCUCAAAAAAAAAAAAAAAAAUUAACACUACAAAAGGCAGGAAGAGAGGAACUGUGGAAUAAAACAGAUCAGACAAAUAUAAAUGGGAAGCUUAACUAUAACCAAAUCAAUAAUCAUAUGAUAAUUGAAAACUAAUCAAAAGGUAAUUAAGUGGAAACUGACAUAUUAAUAUGUGUUCAGUCCAUAUACAUAUAUUAUCUCUUUAGUUCCUUUUAAAAAGUGUUUUAUAUUUUUCAGUGUAUAGAUUUUGCAAAAAGUUUGGUAAAUUUAUCCCCAUGUAGUUCAUAUUUUAGGAAGGUAUUAUAAGUUCAAUUGUACUUUUGCUGUUUUGUUCAUUGCUCACAUAUAGAAAUAUGAUAAAUUUUUAUGUAUUGAACUUUCAUCCUUUGACCUCGAUAGAUCUAUUUAUUAGUUCUAGUAAGUUUCUGUAGUCUUCUUAAGAUUUUCUGUAUAAAUGGUCAUGCAAUCUGAAUAAAUACAGUUUUACGGCUUCCU